GAAACCAACAGGGAUUGCCUCAGUAACGGCGAGUGAAGCGGCAAAGCUCAAAUUUGAAAUCCCCCGGGAAUUGUAAUUUGAAGAGAUUUGGGUCCGGCCGGCAGGGGUUAAGUCCACUGGAAAGUGGCGCCACAGAGGGUGACAGCCCCGUGAACCCCUUUAACGCCUUCAUCCCAGAUCUCCAAGAGUCGAGUUGUUUGGGAAUGCAGCUCUAAGUGGGUGGUAAAUUCCAUCUAAAGCUAAAUACCGGCGAGAGACCGAUAGCGAACAAGUACAGUGAUGGAAAGAUGAAAAGCACUUUGAAAAGAGAGUGAAAAAGUACGUGAAAUUGUUGAAAGGGAAGGGCUUGCAAGCAGACACUUAACUGGGCCAGCAUCGGGGCGGCGGGAAACAAAACCACCGGGGAAUGUACCUUUCGAGGAUUAUAACC
rnacentral:rRNA from 1 species